rnacentral:piRNA from 1 species
AGCAAAACUAAGAAUUUGACCAAAUAAUUC